CAGUGCUGGGUAAAGAGGAAUAAUCACUUCCCAGGCCGAAUACUAGAUAUUAGAUCUGGAGUCCUUCCAGUGGUAUUUUUAUAGGAAAGGUACCAUGUUUUCAAUUCCACAAAUCUUUGCCAUAAUGAAUUAUUGUAAUUAUCAUGUACAAAUUGUCACUGGUUGACUACCCAUCUGGUCUUUCUCUUCUUCAUUUUAUGUUACUAUUAAAAUUUGUACUUCUUUUAUACUGUCUGAACUGCAAGCAGCUUCUUGUACUUUACUAUUCAAAUGUAGUCUUUAAUUUACACAUCUCUUAACUCUGUGAUGGGCUUUAAAAAAGUUUCCAGUUAAAGACUUGAAAAAUCCUUUUGUAUUGUUUCAAUUUUUUUUAUGUAUUUUUUUCUUAAUUCACUGAAAACGGUUUGGUUGCAACUGGGUACCCAAGAAAAUGUCUUUUCUUGUGAGCCUCAGAAGCAUGCUUCCAAAAAGCAAUGAUGGAAGUGUGGAGAAACGUCUUCAACUGGCAGCAUUUGAUCGGUUCCUUGCUUACAGCCAACGAACAGGAGAGGGAGCCAAUGUACUAAAAAGCUGCAGAAGAAUUGUAACCUGCACUUGAAGGGCUGUGAGCUCUGAUUCUUCAGUAGUGCCAGAGCCGAAUGUCACCGCUGACACAACAUGCUUGAGUUACACUGAAGUUCAUGGCAUAGCUUUAAAGUUUGCUCUGGCUUCAGAUCUUACCUGAAAAGUACAGCUCCUUUUCCUGCAUGGCUGCAACAGUAACCUCCAGUAACCAGGUCUCGGACACGCUUGACUUCUUCAAAAAGGGGGACGGCCUCCACUAAUCUUCCAGUUGAUCCUGAGGGACUUCAAAUGCAAGGUAAUUAUUGGGUAAGUAGUUCUUAUUACUUCAUCUGCAGAAGUUCACUUCAUUGAUGCGCAUCACAUGCUCAAUUUCUCUUUAUCGACCUAAUGUAAUAAGAGAGGUUGUAACUUCACUGAAAAUAAUAGUAAAUAUGAAGGGUAUUUUUUAUGACAGCACUCCACAUCAAAAGGUUUCAGAGGCAGAUUUCUUAACUUUCAGUAGCACAGUUGUAUACGUCUAAAUAAAAGCUUUACAGUAGCAUGAUGAGAAUCUUUAACUUGGAGUUUCAUAUUAGAAUAAGCAAAUAUUAAUGAAAUUCUGAAAUGUUUGAUCCUCUGGUGACCCAUCCUGCUUUCCUUUGCUGUCUACAGCUAUUACAGAUACAUGUCUCCAGAGAAUCAAAUAAAUGGUUGUAGUCAUUGCUAAAAUAUUCA